rnacentral:rRNA from 1 species
UACGUAGGGUGCGAGCGUUGUCCGGAAUUAUUGGGCGUAAAGAGCUCGUAGGCGGUUUGUUGCGUCUAUCGUGAAAACCUGCGGCUUAACUGUGGGCUUGCGGUGGAUACGGGCAGACUUGAGUCCGGUAGGGGAGACUGGAAUUCCUGGUGUAGCGGUGAAAUGCGCAGAUAUCAGGAGGAACACCGGUGGCGAAGGCGGGUCUCUGGGCCGAUACUGACGCUGAGGAGCGAAAGCGUGGGGAGCGAACAGG